GUUUGACCUCAAAUCAGGUAGGAGUACCCGCUGAACUUAAGCAUAUCAAUAAGCGGAGGAAAAGAAACCAACCGGGAUUGCCUUAGUAACGGCGAGUGAAGCGGCAAAAGCUCAAAUUUGAAAUCUGGUACCUUCGGUGCCCGAGUUGUAAUUUGGAGAGGGCAACUUUGGGGCCGUUCCUUGUCUAUGUUCCUUGGAACAGGACGUCAUAGAGGGUGAGAAUCCCGUGUGGCGAGGAGUGCGGUUCUUUGUAAAGUGCCCUCGAAGAGUCGAGUUGUUUGGGAAUGCAGCUCUAAGUGGGUGGUAAAUUCCAUCUAAAGCUAAAUAUUGGCGAGAGACCGAUAGCGAACAAGUACAGUGAUGGAAAGAUGAAAAGAACUUUGAAAAGAGAGUGAAAAAGUACGUGAAAUUGUUGAAAGGGAAGGGCAUUUGAUCAGACAUGGUGUUUUGUGCCCUCUGCUCCUUGUGGGUAGGGGAAUCUCGCAUUUCACUGGGCCAGCAUCAGUUUUGGUGGCAGGAUAAAUCCAUAGGAAUGUAGCUUGCCUCGGUAAGUAUUAUAGCCUGUUGGGAAUACUGCCAGCUGGGACUGAGGACUGCGACGUAAGUCAAGG
rnacentral:rRNA from 1 species